GACGAACCGUGCGAACGUUGUUCGGAAUCACUGGGCUUAAAGGGCGCGUAGGCGGGUGGUCAAGUCAGGGGUGAAAUCCGGCAGCUUAACUGUCGAACAGCUUUUGAUACUGGCCGUCUUGAGGGGGGUAGGGGCAUGUGGAACUUCCGGUGGAGCGGUGAAAUGCGUAGAUAUCGGAAGGAACGCCGGUGGCGAAAGCGACGUGCUGGACCCUUUCUGACGCUGAGGCGCGACAGCGUGGGGAGCAAACAGG
rnacentral:rRNA from 1 species